CGGAAGUCAGGGCGAACGCCAGCUCUAGGCGAGUUCAGUCCUGAAGGGUGGGGCGGUUUGCAGUGACAGGGUAAUGCAGUCACGGAUCUGGCGAUGAAGCAGUCUGCUGAAACCUGUCUUGCAGACCGAGUAUAUAAAGUACCAGUUAUAAUAUACAAAGUAUCCAUGGUGAGCAGAAAAGGGCAUUGGAUCCCCUGGAGCUAGAGUUACAGGUCAUUGUGAACCACUUGAUGCUGGGAUCUGAACUUGGGUCCUUGAAAAAAGCAGGAAACAUUCUUAACUGAUUGAGCAACCUCUCCAACCUUCACAGAAGUUUUUUAAAGUGUUUUGAAUGUUUUAAUUAGCAUAUAUUAAUUAAAGUAAUAAGGAAUUUCACUGA